rnacentral:rRNA from 1 species
UAGCCGUAAACGAUACUCGCUAGGUGUCGGCCACGGUGCGACCGUUGUCGGUGCCGUAGGGAAGCCGUGAAGCGAGCCACCUGGGAAGUACGGCCGCAAGGCUGAAACUUAAAGGAAUUGGCGGGGGAGGCACAACAAACGGGUGGGAGGCUUGCGGUUUAAUUUGGAUUCAACGCCGGAAAUCUUACCGGGACCGGACAGCAACAUGAAGGCCAAGCUGAAGACUUUGCCGGAUUAGCUGAGAGGAGGUGCAUGGCGUAGUCGUGU